rnacentral:rRNA from 1 species
UACGGGAGGCAGCAGGUGGGGAAUAUUGCACAAUGGGCGAAAGCCUGAUGCAGCUAUGCCGCGUGUAUGAAGAAGGCCUUAGGGUUGUAAAGUACUUUCAUCGGGGAGGAAAAAACAAAACUAAUAAUUUUAUUUCUUGACGUUACCCGAAAAAGAAGCACCGGCUAACUCCGUGCCAGCAGCCGCGGUAAUACGGAGGGUGCUAGCGUUAAUCAGAAUUACUGGGCGUAAAGAGCACGUAGGUGGUUUUUUUAAGUCAGAUGUGAAAUCCCUGGGCUUAACCUAGGAACUGCAUUUUGAAACUGAAAUACUAGAGUAUCGUAGAGGGAGGUAGAAUUCUAGGUGUAGCGGUGAAAUGCGUAGAUAUCUGGAGGAAUACCUGUGGCGAAAGCGGCCUCCUAAACGAAUACUGACACUGAGGGUGCGAAAGCGUGGGGAGCAAACAGGGAUUAGGAUACC